rnacentral:lncRNA from 1 species
AAUCAACUCUAGAGUCCUGAGUAAUUUUUGUUGCUAGCAGGAGGAAGUACAUUGUGAUGUAAAAAGGAAAGAGAGGUGAAAUUUCAUAUUUAUCAAGAAAGUGCCAAAGCAUGUAAAAGCAAACAAGAUCCUACCAUGUGUAGUGGGCUCGACGCCCUUAUGUAAGCUAUGCUUUUAGGAAUCAGCAAUUUAUUCAAUGAAUAUGUAUUGCUGAAAGGAUAUAGAAGAUUCACACAAACAGGCCUUACUAUUUGGGUUUUGAGGUCAAGUUGAUUGAUUGAUAGAUUUGAAUUCUGGUGUGAUAUGUCUGCUGGAUCUCUUUAGAGAUCCCUCUCUUUACUCGAUGGAUAGCGCUUAUUCUCUUUCAAUCAACAAAAUGAGUUUCCUUAGAUAAUUGAGAUCCCUUUGCUGUUAGGUUUCUUUUUAUUCUCCUGGUCAAGAGUUUGUUCCUUUAGAAAGGCCAGACGAUCAAAACAAUACAUCUGGGAAAAAGAAGGCCAUACCCAAUGGGUUCUCUCUUCUGACAUAAGAUACUUGUGAUUUUCCCUGUUAUAUAUUAUUACUUGUCAAAGAAGGAAGAUGUUAGAUAAUACGCUUAACGCUAG